UUGAACGCUGGCGGCAGGCCUCACACAUGCAAGUCGAACGGUAACAGGAAGCAGCUUGCUGCUUCGCUGACGAGUGGCGGACGGGUGAGUAAUGUCUGGGAAGCUGCCUGAUGGAGGGGGAUAACUACUGGAAACGGUAGCUAAUACCGCAUAAUGUCGCAAGACCAAAGAGGGGGACCUUCGGGCCUCUUGCCAUCGGAUGUGCCCAGAUGGGAUUAGCUUGUUGGUGGGGUAACGGCUCACCAAGGCGACGAUCCCUAGCUGGUCUGAGAGGAUGACCAGCCACACUGGGACUGAGACACGGUCCAGACUCCUACGGGAGGCAGCAGUGGGGAAUAUUGCACAAUGGGCGCAAGCCUGAUGCAGCCAUGCCGCGUGUAUGAAGAAGGCCUUCGGGUUGUAAAGUACUUUCAGCGGGGAGGAAGGGAGUAAAGUUAAUACCUUUGCUCAUUGACGUUACCCGCAGAAGAAGCACCGGCUAACUCCGUG
rnacentral:rRNA from 1 species